UAAAUAAUAUAAUUUACAUUUUAUUAAAAUUUAUAGUUGUAAUAAUUAUUACAAUAUAAAAUUUUAUCCUUUCUUUUUUAUUAAAAAAAAAUUAUUGAAAAUAUAUGAAGAAAAUGUAACUAGGAAGUGAAAGAUUGUUUUUCUGAAUAUGCAUGAUGCAUAUGCACCAGGUGAACCAUUACGUUCGCAUCGUGUGGUAUAGGAAGGUUCAGUAGUAGUUUGAAUCAAAAGGUUGUGGGUUGUAAAGCUUUUCAUAAUUGAUGACUCAGGAUUUGGAUAAAAACUUGGUGAAUUUUUCAGUGGACAUUUAUUUUAGGAUAUAUGUACAGGUUGCUACUUAUUUAGAAUAAUUAACUGAGAUGACUAAAUAUAUUUAUUUAUUUAUCAAAUAUUAUUUUAAGGCUAUUUGGAGCAGUUUGAAUUGCAAAAGCAUAAAUUUUUUCUUUGGUUUAUUGCAGAAAUUUGACAUUAUUGGCUUGGACUCAUGAACACCUGUACUUGAUUGGGUAGGUAGGCUGAAUCUGAAUAUUUCAUGAAGUUUUCAUUCUUUUAUUAAAAACAGUAUUGUGUGGAGGCGAUGGAGAAUUGGCACGUGGAAGAGGAGAGUGAAAGAUGGGGCAAAGCAGGAGAAAGCCACGUGGCAGUCACCUUCAGCCGAAACCCCCGAUGAAAGGUAGCCCCAUUCCCUGACCCAAACCAAAAAAAGAACACCUUUUCUCUCUCUCUAUAGUCUAUAUGGCUGGAACCAGAAGAAAGAUACAGAAGAAGAAGGAAGAAGAAGAAGAAAGGAAGGACCCAUUGGAGGUCUUGGGUAGAGAUAUAAUGUGUUUGGUAAUGAGUUAUCUGGAUGCACACACCUUAGCACUCUCUCUCCUCGUCUCUCCACCUUGGAACGCCCUCGCUUCCACCAAUUGCCUUUGGGCCCCUAAGUGCGAGGAAUUGUGGCUUCAAAAAGUGCACAUACCUCGCUUGUCUCAAAUCCCGGGACUAACGAAGUUGGCCGCUUACUCCUUAUCUUUCAUGGAUGGCAAGCGAGUAAACUCUUCUCUUCUCCCUAAUCCUCACUCUGCUACUCCUGAUUGAGAGAAAAGAAGAAAAAAAUAACUCUUGACUCAAUAGUUGACCCGAAUUACCAAGUACGAUUUGAGUGACCAUGUUUGGGAGUUGCAUUUCAACAAGGCAGCACCAGAAUACUGGCGUAAUCUCGAUCCUUAUUGGAAAGGCGGUAGACCUCUUCUUCGACGAUACUUCCAUCUAGAUGGGAGCCAAACAGCAGAUCCCGAUGACCCAACAUGGGGAGGACAUGAAAGUUGUUAUUGUACUGUUACUAGUUUCAUUGGUCAGGAACAGAUUAGAGAACACUAUGUAAGAAUAAACAGAUGGCCUAAAAUGAAUGUGUAUAGAAAGCAAGAUUGGAGUUGGAACAUGUCCAAUCACCUCUAUUGCUACUCAAGCAUUCCUGACCCUCAUAAACAAGGUGGAACUGGACCAUUCUUUUCGGUUGUUUAAAUUAAGAUACCCAGAUGAUCUUUUUUCUUUUCCUUGUGCCAAACUUUGCAUGAUCUACCCUGGUUUGAUUAGAAACACCAUUGGUACAGUAGUGAACCGUGGGAAAUGCGGUUUUGGCUCAUAGUUGUAACGAAAAAAGCAAGGGGAAAUCGAAGCAGUUAGAGCAGGACUAAAAUCGCGAGCCAAAGUCAUGAGUAGAAGUAGAAUUUUCUGUUUCUUGUAAUUAUGAUUAUAGAUCAGAAUCAGAUGAUAAAUUUUGUCAGUUUAUAAACUUGAGUUUCAAUGAGUGCUCCACUUUGAUAGUGUGGGGUUUUUCUCA